rnacentral:rRNA from 1 species
CCUACGGGAGGCAGCAGUGGGGAAUAUUGGACAAUGGGCGAAAGCCUGAUCCAGCAAUGCCGCGUGAGUGAUGAAGGCCUUCGGGUCGUAAAGCUCUUUUACCAGGGAUGAUAAUGACAGUACCUGGAGAAUAAGCUCCGGCUAACUCCGUGCCAGCAGCCGCGGUAAUACGGAGGGAGCUAGCGUUGUUCGGAAUUACUGGGCGUAAAGAGUACGUAGGCGGUUAUUCAAGUCAGAGGUGAAAGCCCGGGGCUCAACCCCGGAACUGCCUUUGAAACUAGAUAGCUAGAGUCUUGGAGAGGUUAGUGGAAUUCCGAGUGUAGAGGUGAAAUUCGUAGAUAUUCGGAAGAACACCAGUGGCGAAGGCGACUAACUGGACAAGUACUGACGCUGAGGUACGAAAGCGUGGGGAGCAAACAGGAUUAGAUACCCUGGUAGUCCACGCCGUAAACGAUGAUAACUAGUUGUUCGGUCACUUGGUGACUGAGUGACGCAGCUAACGCAUUAAGUUAUCCGCCUGGGGAGUACGGUCGCAAGAUUAAAACUUAAAGGAAUUGACGA